UUGGACGACCAUAGUGGCUUGGUUCCACCCGUUCUCAUCCCGAACACGGUAGUUAAGCAGGCCUACGUUCUGAGUUGUACUGCACUCUGUUGCGGGAACCUUGGAAAGUUGUCCACC
rnacentral:rRNA from 1 species